UAACAGGUACGGGCUCUGAGAGGAGGGGCCCGGAGAUGGGUACUGAGACACGGACCCAGGCCCUAUGGGGCGCAGCAGGCGAGAAACCUUUGCAAUGUGCGAAAGCACGACAAGGUUAAUCCGAGUGUCUCCUGCUAAAGGAGUCUUUUGUCAGUUGUAGAAUCACUGGUGAAUAAGGGGUGGGCAAGUUCUGGUGUCAGCCGCCGCGGUAAAACCAGCACCUCGAGUGGUCAGGAGGUUUAUUGGGCCUAAAGCAUCCGUAGCCGGUUGCAUAAGUUUUCGGUUAAAUCUAUGCGUUUAACGUAUAGGCCGCCGAAAAUACUGUGCAGCUAGGGAGUGGGAGAGGUACACGGUACUCGAUAGGAAGGGGUAAAAUCCUUUGAUCUAUUGAAGACCACCUGUGGCGAAGGCGGUGUACCAGAACACGUUCGACGGUGAGGGAUGAAAGCUGGGGGAGCAAACCGGAUUAGAUACCCGGGUAGUCCCAGCUGUAAACGAUGCAGACUCGGUGAUGCAUUGGCUUGUGGCCAAUGCAGUGCCGCAGGGAAGCCGUUAAGUCUGCCGCCUGGGGAGUACGUACGCAAGUAUGAAACUUAAAGGAAUUGGCGGGGGAGCACCACAAGGGUGAAGCCUGCGGUUCAAUUGGAGUCAACGCCG
rnacentral:rRNA from 1 species